GUGGCUGCCCUUAGACUCUUGUCAUUCGGUCCGGGGGAGCACGGUGCUUGCCUCUGAGGGAUCAGUGGCGAACGGGUGAGUAACACGUGACAACCUGCCCCUGACUCUGGGAUAAGCGCUGGAAACGGCGUCUAAUACUGGAUAUGUGACGUGACCGCAUGUCUGCGUCUGGAAAGAAUUUCGGUUGGGGAUGGGCUCGCGGCCUAUCAGCUUGUUGGUGAGGUAAUGGCUCACCAAGGCGUCGACGGGUAGCCGGCCUGAGAGGGUGACCGGCCACACUGGGACUGAGACACGGCCCAGACUCCUACGGGAGGCAGCAGUGGGGAAUAUUGCACAAUGGGCGCAAGUGAUGCAGCAACCCGCGUGAGGGACGACGGCCUUCGGGUUGUAAACCUCUUUUAGCAGGGAAGAAGCGAAAGUGACGGUACCUGCAGAAAAAGCGCCGGCUAACUACGUGCCAGCAGCCGCGGUAAUACGUAGGGCGCAAGGUUAUCCGGAAUUAUUGGGCGUAAAGAGCUCGUAGGCGGUUUGUCGCGUCUGCUGUGAAAUCCGGAGCUCAACCUCCGCCUGCAGUGGGUACGGGCAGACUAGAGUGCGGUAGGGGGAGAUUGGAAUUCCUGGUGUAGCGGUGGAAUGCGCAGAUAUCAGGAGGAACACCGAUGGCGAAGGCAGAUCUCUGGGCCGUAACUGACGCUGAGGAGCGAAAGGGUGGGGAGCAAACAGGCUUAGAUACCCUGGUAGUCCACCCCGUAAACGUUGGGAACUAGUUGUGGGGUCCAUUCCACGGAUUCCGUGACGCAGCGAACGCAUUAAGUUCCCCGCCUGGGGAGUACGGCCGCAAGGCUAAAACUCAAAGGAAUUGACGGGGACCGCACAAGCGGCGGAGCAUGCGGAUUAAUUCGAUGCAACGCGAAGAACCUUACCAAGGCUUGACAUAUACGAGAACGGGCCAGAAAUGGUCAACUCUUUGGACACUCGUAAACAGGUGGUGCAUGGUUGUCGUCAGCUCGUGUCGUGAGAUGUUGGGUUAAGUCCCGCAACGAGCGCAACCCUCGUUCUAUGUUGCCAGCACGUAAUGGUGGGAACUCAUGGGAUACUGCCGGGGUCAACUCGGAGGAAGGUGGGGAUGACGUCAAAUCAUCAUGCCCCUUAUGUCUUGGGUUCACGCAUGCUACAAUGGCCGGUACAAAGGGCUGCAAUACCGCGAGGUGGAGCGAAUCCCAAAAAGCCGGUCCCAGUUCGGAUUGAGGUCUGCAACUCGACCUCAUGAAGUCGGAGUCGCUAGUAAUCGCAGAUCAGCAACGCUGCGGUGAAUACGUUCCCGGGUCUUGUACACACCGCCCGUCAAGUCAUGAAAGUCGGUAACACCUGAACCGGUGGCCUAACCCUUGUGGAGGGAGCCGUCGAAGGUGGGAUCGGUAACUAGGACUAAGUCGUAAUAGAGCUAUC
rnacentral:rRNA from 1 species